CUCCGCCUCCUCCCUUCUCCCUCUCCUCCCCCUCUCAGCGAGCAGCGGCGCUCCAGGGCUGGUGCGGUGACGGUCAGCCGGCGAGUGGCGACAGCUCUCCUCCUCUCUGCCCUACGCCUCCUCUCCCUCUCCCCUAGCCUCCCACCAGUUGUUGCACGGUCUUCUCUGCGGCAGCAGGGCGUGACCUCCUCCUCUUCGCCGCUGGCCGCCGUGAGCUUGGGGCCGGAUCCGUCGGCCGCGACGACGGGGGUGGAUGGAUCCACCGCCACGACGACGGGUGAGGCCGGGUCCGCCAUCGCGAUGACGGGGGAGGCCAGCGAGGAGGGCAACAAUGGUGGUGGGAGGGUGGACACGGAUCCGGCGGCAGCGGCGGUGCUCAGGCGGUCCUCCACAACAGUGAAGGUAGUGGAUCCGGUGGUGGCUGCCAUGACGACGAUGACAGCCGUGCUACUCCAACCCCCUCCCCUCUACUGCCUGGCGACCGCGGCGUGGGCUUCAGCAGGCGGCGGCCAUGGUGAGAUGUUGCGACGGCAGCUGGCAGUGCUUGCGGCUGUCGUGGCCGGUAAUUUUGUAUAA
rnacentral:lncRNA from 1 species